rnacentral:misc_RNA from 1 species
CUUCAUGCGAGCACCUCACCAAAAAGUAGACAUCUCGGGCAGCGCCAUGUCGAUUUCACCCCAGCCAGAAGAUGAUAGUGCGCUUCUCGUGCGACUUAUCGAAGAAGACCUUUUCCUGGAUCACAUAGAUAAGUGCAGUGGCAACAGCGCAGAGAAAGUAUCUGCCGAUCAUCGCUACCUCAUCGAAAAUGUCUUUCCGACACUUGUGCCAGCCCUUCAAGACUUGAUCAAGCAGUACAGGGACCAAAUUACGCAGGACGGUACGGCAAGCGGCUCUGCCAACAAGGCACAGCCCGACCCGGUGAUGUGGCUGGCACAAUACCUUCUACGAAACAACGUUCAUAGCGGUGCGUCGCGACUCACGCAUCACCCGUUUCAGAUUAUCAACAGGGCGGCGCUUAACAUCGAUCGAAAAGAAGAGUAAACACCUCUGCACCCGACGGUGCGCAACCCGAACUUUCUCUCGACGGAACUUAACUUGCCAGCAGCUGCGCAGGUCAUGUACACUAGUCUCAACUCUUCUUUGUACGCUUUAGUGCUGUCCGUUCAACGCCCGCG